rnacentral:rRNA from 1 species
CCUACGGGUGGCAGCAGUGGGGGAUAUUGCACAAUGGGGGGAACCCUGAUGCAGCGACGCCGCGUGGGUGAAGGAGUGCUUCGGCAUGUAAAGCCCUAUCGGCAGGGAAGAACCAAGACGGUACCUGACUAAUAAGCCCCGGCUAAAUACGUGCCAGCAGCCGCGGUAAUACGUAGGGGGCGAGCGUUAUCCGGAUUCACUGGGUGUAAAGGGAGCGUAGAUGGCCAUGCAAGCCAGGGGUGAAAGCGCGGGGCCCAACCCCGGGACUGCUCUUGGGACUGCAUGGCUGGAGUGCGGGAGGGGGAGGUGGAAUGCCAGGUGUAGCGGUGAAAUGCGUAGAUAUCAGGAGGAACACCGGCGGCGAAGGCGGCCUGCUGGACCGUGACUGACGUUGAGGCUCGAAAGCGUGGGGAGCGAACAGGAUUAGAUACCCUGGUAGUC